AACGAACGCUGGCGGCAGGCUUAACACAUGCAAGUCGAACGGGCCCUUCGGGGUCAGUGGCAGACGGGUGAGUAACGCGUGGGAACGUGCCCUUCAGUUUGGAAUAACCCAGGGAAACUUGGGCUAAUACCGGAUACGCCCUUCGGGGGAAAGAUUUAUCGCUGAAGGAUCGGCCCGCGUCUGAUUAGCUGGUUGGUGAGGUAAUGGCUCACCAAGGCGACGAUCAGUAGCUGGUCUGAGAGGAUGAUCAGCCACAUUGGGGCUGAGACACGGCCCAAACUCCUCCGGGUGGCAGCAGUGGGGAAUAUUGGACAAUGGGCGCAAGCCUGAGCCAGCCAUGCCGCGUGAGUGAUGACGGCCUUAGGGUUGUAAAGCUCUUUCGCAAGCGACGAUAAUGACGGUAGCGUGAGAAGAAGCCCCGGCUAACUUCGUGCCAGCCGCCGCCGUAAGAC
rnacentral:rRNA from 1 species